rnacentral:rRNA from 1 species
AUUGAACGCUGGCGGCAGGCCUAACACAUGCCAGUCGAGCGGAUGAAGGGAGCUUGCUCCUGGAUUCAGCGGCGGACGGGUGAGUAAUGCCUAGGAAUCUGCCUGGUAGUGGGGGAUAACGUCCGGAAACGGGCGCUAAUACCGCAUACGUCCUGAGGGAGAAAGUGGGGGAUCUUCGGACCUCACGCUAUCAGAUGAGCCUAGGUCGGAUUAGCUAGUUGGUGGGGUAAAGGCCUACCAAGGCGACGAUCCGUAACUGGUCUGAGAGGAUGAUCAGUCACACUGGAACUGAGACACGGUCCAGACUCCUACGGGAGGCAGCAGUGGGGAAUAUUGGAAAAUGGGCGAAAGCCUGAUCCAGCCAUGCCGCGUGUGUGAAGAAGGUCUUCGGAUUGUAAAGCACUUAAGUUGGGAGGAAGGGCAGUAAGUUAAUACCUUGCUGUUUUGACGUUACCAACAGAAUAAGCACCGGCUAACUUCGUG